rnacentral:rRNA from 1 species
UCGGGAAUUUUGCUCAAUGGGCGAAAGCCUGAAGCAGCAACGCCGCGUGAGGGAUGAAGGCCUUCGGGUUGUAAACCUCUUUUCUCAGGGACGAUGAUGACGGUACCUGAGGAAUAAGCCACGGCUAACUACGUGCCAGCAGCCGCGGUAAUACGUAGGUGGCAAGCGUUGUCCGGAUUUACUGGGCGUAAAGAGCGCGCAGGCGGCCGAGUAAGUCGAAUGUGAAAGCCCCCGGCUCAACUGGGGAACGUCAUUCGAUACUGUUCGGCUUGAAGAUAGGAGAGGGAAGCGGAAUUUCAGGUGUAGUGGUGAAAUGCGUAGAUAUCUGAAGGAACACCAGUGGCGAAGGCGGCUUUCUGGCCUAUUCUUGACGCUGAGGCGCGAAAGCUAGGGGAGCGAACGGGAUUAGAUACCCCCGGUAGUCCUAGCCGUAAACGAUGAACACUAGAUGUUGGUGGUAUCAACCCCGCAGUGUCGUAGCUAACGCAUUAG